rnacentral:lncRNA from 12 species
CAGGGCUCCUGGCCCGGCCUGCUAUAAUUAGCACCAAACCUCAUUAGGAGAGGCAGGGGCAGCUCUUCAGGACUGGUAAUUGCUAAUUACUGGAAGCCUCUAAUGGCUCUCCAGGGGCAGUUUCCUCUCCCUUAUAAAGGAAGGUCUUGAGGAUGCAGCGUUCAUUGGGGUGGGGAGAGGUUUUGGAGGGUGGGAGGGGAAUUCUAGGGGGCAUAAAUCCUAAAUUCCUGUGGUGAGAGGUCUGCAGGGGUUGGGCAAGGGAGAAGGAAGAACAAAAACAAGAAGAAGAUGGAAGAGGAGGGUCUGUGCCUUCCUUGGAGCAGAACCUGGAGUUUGAGAGCCCGGGGCAGGUGCUGCCUCCAGAGAUCCCAAAUCAGCACCCUCACCCCGCUCUGAGGGAUUUGAGCUUGGAGCAGGAGCAUUGAGGGUGUCCAGCUGCUGCAACAUUCCCUGGAUUUCAGGUACCUGGACUGGGUUUGGAGGUGCAGGGGGGCAGGUGCCCCUUGAAGGGGGUUUUCCUCAGCACAGUGGGCUCCUCUCUCCCCAGAUUAGAAAUUUUAUGGGAUAUUGUGCAUUAGGGACUUGGGUUUGCUGUCCCCAAAAUAUCAGGCUUUGCCUGAAGGGAAAAGGGGGGUAAGGGAUACACAGGGGUUGUUUCCAUCCCAUCGGUACCAGCCAAAACUGGCAGCUGGAGCUGGCCACUUUCCAGCUAGAAAAUUACCCAUCCAUGGAUUAUUUCAGAUGCUCCAGGCUGCUCCCCAGCCUGCCCAAAAUCUGUUGCUUGACACGAGACCCUCUUGAAAGCCUGGAUGGACACAAAGAGCCCUGAAAUCCAGGCUGGAUCCCUGGCUCAGGGGACACACUGGGAUGGGAAGGGACAAUGGUAGCUUCCAAGGGCUGUUCCUGUUUAUAAGGCCACGUUGUCAGUGCAAGUCCUGCUGCUCGUAUUUUUUUGCUUUGUAAACAGCUGUGGAGUUCAUGGAAAUCUGGGAUUGCUUUCCAGGAGGAAAUCUGGGCUGAGAUUUCGGGAUUUAGGAACCACAUCACCCUUUCUGCCUUUUUUUUCUUUUUUUUUUUUUUUCCCCCCCCCCCCCCCCCCCCCCCCCCCCCCCCCCCCCCCCCCCCCCCCCCCCCCCCCCCCCCCCCCCCC